AAACCAACAGGGAUUGCCUCAGUAGCGGCGAGUGAAGCGGCAAAAGCUCCAUUUUGAAAGCUCUUCGGAGCGUUGUAGAUUGGUGGGAAGCUAACGGCUGGUGGGAGACCAAGUCCUCUGGAACGAGGCGCCAUAGAGGGUGAGAGCCCCGUGUGUCUCCUUUACCGACCUUUCAGCCCCCUCCGCGGAGUCGAGUUGUUUGGGAAUGCAGCUCUAAGUGGGUGGUAAAUUCCAUCUAAGGCUAAAUAUUGGCGAGAGACCGAUAGCGAACAAGUACAGUGAUGGAAAGAUGAAAAGCACUUUGAAAAGAGAGUGAAACAGUACGUGAAAUUGUUGAAAGGGAAGGGUAUUUGGCCCGACAUGGGUCCUAUGCACCGUUGCCUCUCGUGGGCGGCGCUCUGCUUGGGCCUGGGCCAGCGUCAGUUUGGAGGGGGCGAGAAGGGUUUUGGGGAGUUGCCUAGCAAUUCCCCUUUGCUAGAUUGCCCCACACCGGACUGAGGACCGCCAUCUGUAGGAUGCUGGCACAACGGCCAAAUACCGCCCGUCUUGAAAACACGGGACCA
rnacentral:rRNA from 1 species